GUUAUCCUAUUAUCAAUACCUUUACGUGGUGGAUAACAUAAGUACCUGAUAUAAGGGAAACUAAAAUUGAU
rnacentral:ribozyme from 1 species